GCGGCGCUGCGGCGGGAAGCGGAGAGAGCGGCCGGCACGGCGCGGGGCCGCGCUUGGGUGGCGGCGCUGAGGGGAGCGCCGCGCUGUCCCUCCUCGUGUCAGACUGGAGCGGUGCGCGGAGCGGGCGGGGGAAACGAGAGGGGUUCCUCUGCCUGCGGCGUUGAGAGGAAAACUCCCCUCCGACCCAGGAUUACACGUUUGGAAAAGACAUGAUGCUGCCCGGGCUGCAUGGCUUCAGAACGCCUGACAGAGGUUUGCACUGAAAAGGUCAUUCAGGAGGGAUCUGCCCAUUCUUCAGGUUAACAGCAGGCACGAAGCCGCUCCCACGCUCACUGUGUGGCAAUGUGUGGUGCCUUUCUUAGAGCUUAGGAUGUUUCCUGGAAGAGCAUUCGGGUCAGACCCUUUGGUGUGCCCUUAGCUCAGCCUCACACUGAGCGGUAUUGCAAUGUGAGGCUGGUGCCUCCCACUGCACUACUCUGCUGGAAACAUCCGCUGCUUCCAGCUGGGGGCAGGUGUUUAAUCUCAAGGUGCACUGCCAAUUGGAGAUGAGAAUUGGACUUUGAAGCUGUAAAGAAGCGGUGCUCCUGAUGCUCCAAUAACGCUGAAUUGCUUAGGGCUAAAGCAGAGAAGAAAUCAAAACUUUCAUAUAAUAAAAACUAAAGCGUCCCUGGCACUGCGGUUAUCUCAAAGGGCCUUAUGAAGCAAUGCCAGGUGAAGGGCCACCUUUAAGCUCAGCAGUGUUCUGUGCACUGAUGUACCUUUGGACACAGAGCUUUUUGGCCAAGACACCAGAGUUAUCCAUAAUCGUUUAAUGGGGCUAUUAUGUAUGUUUAAUGAUCACCCGCAAUGGCACGAGAAAUGUGCUCUUAACAGUCAUCGCUUAAAGCCAUUAAGGAAAGAUAAAAUGCAUCAUACAUUGAACUCACCCUUGGCCCAACUCUGGGUAGCAGUUCAGUCAAUUUAAGGUUGUAAAGAAUGUGUGAGUCUUCCCUACAUACCCCAGUAAAGUACAUUCCUGAAGGUGCAGGGAAAGACCUGCCCAGCAAUAGCACACUGUUAGUGGCUCCUGCCAUCAUUCUGCCUUCAGUAAUGCUGUGUAACAGAGGGCUGUGACUUAGGAAACACGGUUUCAUUCCUAACCUUUAAGCAGAAGGCAAUACGGGAACCAUACGGGAUUUUUCCAAACUGCAUCUGUCCACAAUAGAUAUGAUUAAGCGCAUUUUUGUUUAGCUAUUGAUUUAUUCACCUGGCUUCCUCAAAUGUCAGAUAUAUGUAUGUAUUUUUGUCCAAGAAAAAUAGGUCUGUUUGGAGUAUUGAUUGCAACAGUGCAGCCUGCAGGACGGCUCAGCCACAGCUUUGGUUUGCACUUCAAGACAUUGCAUUCUUCUUUAAUACAUGAACCCGCACCUCCUUUGGAUGUAGAUGUAAGAUCUGCUGCCAGGAUUAUAUGGUAGUCUUUUUCAUUUUAUUUUUAAUCUAGGAAAAAAAGGCUUUUCCCAUUUUUUUUUUUUAAUUAUGAGCAUGCAGUAAUCUCCCCUUAAACCUGCUUAGAGUUACAGAUUUUGUAUUCAUUUUGUGUUUGUAAACAAAAUGAUGGAAAUGCUGUUCU
ensembl:lncRNA